rnacentral:snRNA from 1 species
AACUGAACAAAAGUCAAAAUUAU